rnacentral:rRNA from 1 species
AAAUUGACGGGGACCCGCACAAGCGGUGGAUGAUGUGGAUUAAUUCGAUGCAACGCGAAGAACCUUACCUACCCUUGACAUGUCCGGAACUUGCCAGAGAUGGCUUGGUGCCCGAAAGGGAAUCGGAACACAGGUGCUGCAUGGCUGUCGUCAGCUCGUGUCGUGAGAUGUUGGGUUAAGUCCCGCAACGAGCGCAACCCUUAUCAUUAGUUGCUACGCAAGGGCACUCUAAUGAGACUGCCGGUGACAAACCGGAGGAAGGUGGGGAUGACGUCAAGUCCUCAUGGCCCUUAUGGGUAGGGCUUCACACGUCAUACAAUGGUCGGUACAGAGGGUUGCCAAGCCGCGAGGCGGAGCCAAUCCCACAAAGCCGAUCGUAGUCCGGAUUGUUCUCUGCAACUCGAGAGCAUGAAGUCGGAAUCGCUAGUAAUCGCAGGUCAGCAUACUGCGGUGAAUACGUUCCCGGGUCUU